CCCAUUAAACCUAUGAAACGGGUCGGGUCUGUAUGACUUACCCAUUUUCUCUCAAAAUCUUCUUUCUGUAUACAGUCGCCACACUCUUCUGCUUCCAUUUUUCGCCAGCACCACCACAACCACCACGUCAUUGACAGGACCAAUAAGAAAAACAUGCAGGUGAUGGUUCUUAGUCUAUAAGAUAUGAGAGGAGUUUGUUUUCUUCAAUUGAAAUGUUGAAAUAAUGGUAGAGUGUUUGCAGACGCAAUUUGGUUAUAUAAGUUUUUAAUUACAUUGAGUAAUAGUGUUAGACAGGAGAGAGUAAUAGUAUUAGACAGGAGAGAGUGUUGGGCAAGAUGGACUUGAAAUCAAGGAGGGAAGGUAAAAGAGUCGGUCGAGCGAGUGAGAGUGAUAAAAUACCUGUUGAUUCAUAUAGGAAAAGGAAGAGAAUUUUUGCUGAUCAAUAUCCGGAAGGGGAAUUGAUAAACAUUGUAAAGACUAAGGAUUUAUUUAAGAAAGGGAAAGAAGGGAUGAAAGAUGACUCUUUUAAAGUUAGGAAAAGCAAAGGACCAUCUCGCUCCAUUUGGGCUUAUGAUCGAACGAAGGCGGCUACUUCACGAAAGAAGCAUCAUUCUCCUGGAAUUACUGAUGAAACAGACAGUACAGAGUUGUCUAGUGGUAAACGAAGGACCAAGAUGAAGAAAGCAGAUAUAUUGGAUGGGCACAAGAAUAGUUUGUUGAAGAAACAAUCUAAAAGCAAAUCUGAUUUAAGUAAGCAUCCUGAUGUACCCCUUUCAAGAUUUGCAAAGAAAAUGGCACGGAACGAAAAAAGCCUUGUUGCUGGUGAUUCAGAGGUAGAUGAAAGGCCAAAGAAGAAAAAGCGUAUAAUUCGGUUAGAUCCACAUGAUAUCUCAAAUAAACGGCUAGAUGAGGGAGUGGUUACUAAUGAGAAUCCAAAAGAGAAGGAAAAGGAAGUCGAGGAAGUGGGUGAAAUGUCAAAAAAUGCACAAUUCAGAGCUAUAAAACCUAGUCCUUCCAUCCUUUCCUUUGUUGAAGAUAAUUUGUUAGGUCGUAGACGAUUGAUUGAGCUAAAAAGGGCAGGCUACAACAUUGAGCUAUCUGCACCACUAGAUAAUAUCCCUUUGUCUACAAGCUCUGAGAGAGAACGGAUUGAAGAAAAUAUUUUCAGGAAUAAAUUGACUUUUUUUGCUGCCGCCAAAGUAUCCUCUUCAUUCCCGCCUCCUGAUCUGCCAGAGAUUGCAUUUGCAGGAAGGUCAAAUGUUGGGAAAUCAUCACUUCUUAAUGCUCUCACAAGACAAUGGGGUGUUGCACGGACAUCAGACAAGCCUGGCCUUACUCAGACUAUUAAUUUCUUCAGUCUAGGGCCAAAGCUCUGUUUAGUUGAUUUGCCUGGAUAUGGGUUUGCUUAUGCAAAAGAAGAGGUUAAGGACGCAUGGGAGGACCUUGUGAAGGAGUACGUUUCCACAAGAGUCGGUCUAAAACGAGUAUGUCUUCUUAUUGACACAAAGUGGGGCAUGAAGCCAAGAGAUCACGAACUCAUUAAUUUGAUGGAAAGAUCUCAGACUAAAUACCAGAUUGUAUUGACCAAGACGGAUGUGGUAUUCCCAAUUGACGUGGCACGUCGUGCUAUGCAAAUUGAAGAGAGCCUCAAGGCAAACAAGUCUAUAGUUCAACCUGUGAUGAUGGUAAGCUCAAAAUCUGGUGCUGGUAUCCGAAGUUUAAGAACAGUGCUUUCCAAGAUUGCCUGGUUUGCCAAGCUCUAAUGAAUGGUCACUUUGUACUUCAUGGCAUAGCUAGUUGGAGACUUUCCAGAAUCAUUGUUCCCAGAAUGAAUCUUGCCAAUCAAUGAAACUUGCAACUUCUUGCCUUGAAUCUUGCGAAUCAAUGGAACUUGCAAAUUUUUGCCUUACUUAGCCCAUUUCUUUAAAUGUGUUCGCAAUCUCUGCCAAGCUGGAUAAGGUUUACCUUUAAGUUUGAUGCACCUUAAUAUCAUUUUAAUACAAAAGAGGGGCCAGGAUGUUACUUGUUGCUUACGUAAAUGUUGUAGGGUAGCCAGUUAGCUAUCCCUGAGCUGAAAGCCGAAAACUUAAUGCUUGUCUGAGCUGAAGGUGCAUAUGGGUCCAUUUGUCUGCUGAAUGCUGAUAACCGAACUUAAUUGUUGGCAGCAAGAUGAACAUAUUUCUCCUGCAAUUCCUUUAAUUUCAAUACUGCUAAAUCUUUUUGCUCUCGUGUCAGGUAUAUAUUUGUUUUGGUAGUCAGGGAAUGGUCGCAUAUAUAAACUGCUUGCUUGGUCAA